rnacentral:rRNA from 1 species
UACGGAGGGUGCAAGCGUUAUCCGGAUUCACUGGGUUUAAAGGGUGCGUAGGAGGGCAGGUAAGUCAGUGGUGAAAUCCCCAAGCUUAACUUGGAAACUGCCGUUGAUACUAUCUGUCUUGAAUACCGUGGAGGUGAGCGGAAUAUGUCAUGUAGCGGUGAAAUGCUUAGAUAUGACAUAGAACACCAAUUGCGAAGGCAGCUCGCUACACGAAUAUUGACUCUGAGGCACGAAAGCGUGGGGAUCAAACAGG